GUUUUAUUGAUAUUUGCCUUUUAUCAUUAGAAAAGUUACAGGGAACUGUUGAGGUGUGACUGUUAGAAUAUGUGCUUUAGAGGUAAAUAAAUGAGCACUCCACAGGAUACUGGAUCUGCUCAAGUUGUGUGAGGUUGGUUUAUUACAUCUGUUUAAAUGAGAUAUCUGCAUAUUUGCAAACGGUAUAUAAUUGUAGUUUUAUUGAUAUUUGCCUUUUAUCAUUAGAAAAGUUACAGGGAACUGUUGAGGAGAGACUGUUAGAAUAUGUGCUUUAGAGGUAAAUAAAUGAGUGCUCCACAGGAUACUGGAUCUGCUCAAGUUG